rnacentral:rRNA from 1 species
UACGUAGGGGGCAAGCGUUGUCCGGAAUUAUUGGGCGUAAAGAGCGCGUAGGCGGUCCGAUAAGUCGGCUGUGAAAGUCAAGGGCUCAACCCUUGAAAGCCGGCCGAUACUGUCGGACUAGAGUCCGGAAGAGGCGAGUGGAAUUCCCGGUGUAGCGGUGAAAAUGCGCAGAGUAUCGGGAGGAACACCAAUGGCGAAGGCAGCUCGCUGGGACGGUACUGACGCUGAGGCGCGAAAGCG